rnacentral:rRNA from 1 species
GCCCAGUGACUUGUUCAACGGCCGCGGUAUCCUAACCGUGCGAAGGUAGCGUAAUCACUUGUUUUCUAAAUCAAGACUAGUAUGAAAGGCAUCACGAAAAUCCAACUGUCUCCUUUUUUUCGCCAGUGAAACUAAUCUUCCCGUGAAGAAGCGGGAAUAUUUAUAUAAGACGAGAAGACCCUAUGGAGCUUCAAACUUCAAGCCAUCUGCGUAGAAAAUUUUACUUCAACAGCAUAUUGGCCUAAGAGUUUUAGGUUGGGGUGACCCAGGAGAAAAACUCAUCCUCCUGGCAGACACGGAUUUAUCCUAAGCAAAAAGCUACACCUUAAAGCAUCAAUAAAUUGACUCACAUUGACCCAGUUUUCUGAUCAACGAACCAAGUUACCCUAGGGAUAACAGCGCAAUCUACUUCAAGAGUUCCUAUCGACAAGUGGGUUUACGACCUCGAUGUUGGAUCAGGGUAUCCUAGUGGUGCAGCCGCUACUGAUGGUUCGUUUGUUCAACGAUUAAAACCCUACGUGAUCU